rnacentral:rRNA from 1 species
AGGAUGAACGCUGGCGGCGUGCUUAACACAUGCAAGUCGAACGAUGAAGGCUGGAGCUUGCUCUGGCUGGAUUAGUGGCGAACGGGUGAGUAACACGUGAGUAACCUGCCCCAGACUCUGGGAUAAGCGCUGGAAACGGCGUCUAAUACCGGAUACGAGCUUCCACCGCAUGGUGAGGAGCUGGAAAGAAUUUCGGUCUGGGAUGGACUCG